rnacentral:rRNA from 2 species
AUUGAUUGAUGGUGCUUGCACCUGAUUGAUUUUGGUCGCCAACGAGUGGCGGACGGGUGAGUAACACGUAGGUAACCUGCCCAGAAGCGGGGGACAACAUUUGGAAACAGAUGCUAAUACCGCAUAACAACGUUGUUCGCAUGAACAACGCUUAAAAGAUGGCUUCUCGCUAUCACUUCUGGAUGGACCUGCGGUGCAUUAGCUUGUUGGUGGGGUAACGGCCUACCAAGGCGAUGAUGCAUAGCCGAGUUGAGAGACUGAUCGGCCACAAUGGGACUGAAACACGGCCCAUACUCCUACGGGAGGCAGCAGUAGGGAAUCUUCCACAAUGGGCGCAAGCCUGAUGGAGCAACACCGCGUGAGUGAAGAAGGGUUUCGGCUCGUAAAGCUCUGUUGUUAAAGAAGAACACGUAUGAGAGUAACUGUUCAUACGUUGACGGUAUUUAACCAGAAAGUCACGGCUAACUACGUGCCAGCAGCCGCGGUAAUACGUAGGUGGCAAGCGUUAUCCGGAUUUAUUGGGCGUAAAGAGAGUGCAGGCGGUUUUCUAAGUCUGAUGUGAAAGCCUUCGGCUUAACCGGAGAAGUGCAUCGGAAACUGGAUAACUUGAGUGCAGAAGAGGGUAGUGGAACUCCAUGUGUAGCGGUGGAAUGCGUAGAUAUAUGGAAGAACACCAGUGGCGAAGGCGGCUACCUGGUCUGCAACUGACGCUGAGACUCGAAAGCAUGGGUAGCGAACAGGAUUAGAUACCCUGGUAGUCCAUGCCGUAAACGAUGAGUGCUAGGUGUUGGAGGGUUUCCGCCCUUCAGUGCCGGAGCUAACGCAUUAAGCACUCCGCCUGGGGAGUACGACCGCAAGGGUUGAAACUCAAAGGAAUUGACGGGGGCCCGCACAAGCGGUGGAGCAUGUGGUUUAAUUCGAAGCUACGCGAAGAACC